rnacentral:rRNA from 1 species
UACGAAGGGGGCUAGCGUUGUUCGGAAUCACUGGGCGUAAAGGGCGCGUAGGCGGCCCGAUCAAGUCGGGGGUGAAAGCCUGUGGCUCAACCACAGAAUUGCCUUCGAUACUGUUUGGCUUGAGACCGGAAGAGGUUAGUGGAACUGCGAGUGUAGAGGUGAAUUCGUAGAUAUUCGCAAGAACACCGGUGGCGAAGGCGGCUCUCUGGGCCUUACCUGACGCUGA